rnacentral:lncRNA from 1 species
ACUGCCCUUUCUGUACUUUUACAAGGAAUUUUAUUUGACACAGGCUGUCACUCUUAAAAAUGAGUAUUUUUUAAUUCAUAGUUCACAUUUUCAGGGAAGCACUUAUUCUUCUCCAGUAACUAAUAAAAUCACCUAUUUAAUUAUGAGACAAACUCCAUUAAGCACUGCUGGAAUCUGUGGUGUGAGGAGGGUGGCAAUUUUUUUUGCCACAAUCUUAGCCCCUUAGAAAAUAAAAAUAAAAAAAAAGGUGGAUAAAAUUACUAGGAAGUAUGAAACAAUGGCGUCUAACAUAUGGAGUGGGCAGUUCAACUUGGGUGAUACUAAUAUCACUUCUUAAUAUUUUUCAUUUUAUUGCAACAGCGGAGGGUAAAUUUUGAAGAAUUCACUGUGUCAAGUGUUAUGCAUUUCUGCAGAGCGCAGCUUAAAAGAGACAACUCCAUACUGUUUCCCUCAGGUGGGUAAAUGUUAAGAGAGAAGAAUUCAAGUUUCAUGAUGCAGCAGCACAAAGCUGGGAAGUGAAAAUUAUGUUGCAGCAGAGUCUUGAAAAUAUGACUGUAAAAGUUAAUCAAUAAAAUGUCUAUUCCUGUCUAUUCACUAGAGGCCCCAGCUGCAUAGCUUCACACAAUCGAUACUACAAAUUAUUACGAUUUCCAGGUUCCCACUGGACAUUCCGAACAAAUCUUUCAAGUGUAACAGGCUUAUAUUGGAGGCUGGGGGGGAGUGUGUGUAACUUUAGGUUUAUUUCAUCCAGAAUAAGUAUAUAGCAAACAUAGCUUGUGACUACUUACAAAUUUUGGUUAUACCUGGAAUACAUGCAUUUUGAGAAUCCAGUACAGUUAGUAAAAUAUUUUUAUUCUAUUUUAUAAAAAAAUAUUUUUGUAAACUAGCACAAAUAAUGCUAGUUUUAUUGUUUUUUAAAUGCUCUUCAGUACUUUCCUUUUACACCACUUCCAGGAGAAAUAUCCUUUAAUGUACAUUUACAUUACAAGGAAAUAAAAGCAUACAAAAAUGGACUUUUCUCCUUAUAGGCGUCACAACAGCUAUAGCAGAAUCUUAACUCUCUCGGUAGUUUAAAUCCACCAAUUUAUGCUUCACUGCAUUUUUCUUUGUAAGGUCCUAAGCUCUCACCUUGAUACCAUCUGCAUUUGCCAGAAUCACUAAGUAGGGUGGUAGGUAAAGUCCAGGACUAUGUGACUUCGAAUAAGUCAGCACCAAAGGGAUGUUACUUUACAACACGUGCUGUGCCCUUCAUAGUAAAUGAACAUAACCUUUACGACAUUCCCUGUCCCCAAACACCCAUGGGGAAAGAGAUCCAUUGUUCUUUCUGCCUCUCAAGGAACAGAGCACAGCAGAUACUGUCUGGCACAACAUGUUUGUUUUCAGGUAUUCAGUAAAAUGUUAUCUUUAAGGGGGAAUUUAAUAUCUAAAAUGUUCAAUUUUGUUUCUUAGUUUUUAUCUUUAUAAUUUCAACUUUAUUAAAAUUUUAAAUUUACAGCGUUAAUUUUCCUAAUUCAACAAAUACUUCUCUAUAAUCGUGCAGUAAUAUCACAGUACUUUUAAAAAACAAGUGUCAUAAACUUAAACAUAAAAAUUAACCUAAGAGCCUAUAAAAAUAAUCUUGACAAUCUAUAGAGCUGUAACCUGAAGACUCCCCUAACUCAAAAUACAUUAUGCUCAUGUACUAAAUUAACAAACUUCCAAAGCCAACAAACAUAUUAGUUUGGUGAAAACAGAAAUAGAAAAAUAGAGCAGAAAAAGAAAAUCAAAUAUAAACAGAAAAAAAGGUGGCUUAGUGAAUUUUUGUAUGUUAACAGAUUCAUCCAAGUUUUUAUUUAUUCACAAAAUGUAUACUAUGAAAUCAUAAAAAAAAAAAAAAAGAAAGAAAUGUGUCUCAAAGUCUUGUAGUGUUUAUCAUUUGUCUUUCUAUUUGAAGAACAGAGAAACUCAUUUCACUUUUGCAAAAUUCCUGCUCUAUCAAGUGUUGUAUUUCAUCACACAUUUGAUCAGAUACAGCUGGAGGUUUCAAUCCUCCCACAUCCCCUACCAUUUCUAUCACUGUAUCACACAAACUUACAGCCAGUACUCCUAGAAGAUUUUAACCUUUUAAUUUUGAAGUAAAUAUCUACAGGAAUUUGCAUAACAUGGCAUUUUGGCAACUGAAGAAUCACUUGAAAUGGUUAAGAAAGCUUACUGUAGCAAAGGAGUCAAGAUAGGUUAGGAAAGCAAAUCAGUGACACUACUGUCCCUAGAGAAGUAGUAGUAAGGUCUUUAGAGGUAUAACUAGAAGUUGAAAACCACCAAGCUAUUUUAUUUAAAGAAAUGAAGACAUAUUACUGUAGACAAUGUUUUUGUUCUUGUGCGUUUUUUUCUUCCCAUAGAGAUUUUCCCAGUCUUCAGCAGAAAAAUUGGCUUUAAACUUUUGAAUACAGAGUGAAGUUCCAGUCUAGAAGCUAUUUACACUGAGCAUACAAAUUAUAACAUUGUCAUAUUGUGAUUUUGAAACAUUAUGUUUAUUGCAUCUAAACCUAGCAAAGCUUCUCUCAGAGGAGAUUUGUAGAGACAGUCCUUGAUGCUUGGUACAAAUCUGAGAUAAAACAUUUCUCUUUAAAUGUUCAACCUACCACUGAAUGAAUAAACUUUAUUUCAGUCAUGCUCUCUUUAUAAAGCAUUCACCUGCACUCUAUGAUAUUAUAAAACAGCUUGAGUUUCUGUCUCUACAUUUAACAAUUUUUUAAUAUAACAUAUGUAACAGUUUGCAUACAAUAAGGCAAAAAGAAGCAGUAGUGAAUCAUUUCUACCAUACUGUAGAUCUUGAAAAAUCUGAAUAAUGUAUCAUUUUGUGUCUCAAUAUAAAAAUACAUUUAAAGUCAUUAUAAUUUAUAAAAGUUAUUUGUUGAAGAUUAGUAUUUUUUAAUUAAAAUCUUCAGAGCUAACAUUUAAACUUAUAAACUUAUAGAUACUAUUUUUUUUUUUUCUGAGAAUAGAGGUACAUUUUUCUGUUUAAACUUUUCUCAAGUAUAGUAUGCAAUCUCAUAUGUGCCUUACUGUUGUGACUAAAAGUUCAAACACUAAAUUUCCUUUUAUUUGGCAGCAUCUUGCUUAGAGACAGCUUCUAAAAAAAAUAAAGAAAAUAAAAUGCAUAUUUAAACUUCAGUUGCUAAAAAUAGGAAGAUGAGAAUAAUAUUAAGAUAGAAGUAACAAAUAUUAUUCUACUUCAACACCAUAGAAUCUUUUUCUCUUUUUCAUUCCAAAAGUAAAAUAGACCACUAACAAAAGUAUUUUUUUUUAAUUUUAAGUGCAAAAUAUAUUUUAAAGUACACAUUAAUCAAUCUUUUAGAUUUAAUAGUUUAUUCAGUAGCUAUAGAACAUAUUUACACUACAUCUUGCCAGAAAUAAAUGGUUAACAUAAUACUUAUUAAAAGAAUUUGCUGCUGUCUUUAAUGUCUUCUGUUUAUCAAAUACUAUAAAAGCAGUUACUCACUUGUAAUCACUAAUUUCUUCAUCAGAAGCUAUAAUACGUUCUCUCAGGAUCUUCUUUCAGCUCUGUCUGUGAUUUUCUACUGUUCUGUUCUUGGUGAACUGUUUCUGCUGUUUGCUCACUUAGCUGCUCUUGAGUUGCUUUCAAGCUGGAUUCCAUUAGAAGAAGUUUUUCAUCUUGACUGGCAAGUUCUUGGGCUGAAAGAUAAAGGAAAAAAAAAAAGAAAAAAAAAAGGGGGGGAAAAGAAAAGAAAAGAGAAAAGCAUUACAUUUUAAAUCUAAACUGAGUGAUAUUUUUGUUUUAAAAGUAAUAGAGUGCAUUGCAACCCUCUGUAAGGGCUGGACAAAUAUUGUUUUCAUGAGAACAGCAUAAUUCUGUUCCCAAAUCCUUAGAGGAAAAUAUAGCACAGAUAUAUUAAUAGUUGACUUAAGACUCUCUCCUUGCAUUGCAGUAAACAUAAAUAAAGAGUCUUGGAUUCAGUUUUCUGAAAAUAUUUAAACUGCUACCAAAUCUUACUGUGUAUAUAAAAAUUCAGUAUUUAGCUCAUUCUAAAGCAAAUGUCUAUUUCUAUCAUAUUUUGUUAAUGUAAGUAAUUCCGGAAUUCAAAAUCAUAGUUUUAAGAAGAUAAUAGCUCUUGUACCAUUUUACUAUCAUAAUAUAUACAAUUUAAUGUCUUCAAUUUUUUUAUUUAUUUUUUUUUUUUUAAUGAAUUAUGGAGUACAUACAUAGUAAAAACCUGCUAUUUUCCAAGGUCAUCCAAUAGAUGGCAAUCUUUCCUUAGACCAAAAGAAAUGAGAGCUGUACACUGCCAGCUCUCUCAGAAAAAUAAGUGAUUUAAGACAAAGACAUUUUUCCUUUGUUCUUUGUUGACCAUUUUCCUAAAAGAUAUAUGUUCAUAGGUUUUAAUUUAAAUUUUUGACCCUUAGUGUAUGCAUGUACAAGUUUGUGACGGUGUAUGGAUGUAUGUGUACAUGUGCAGACACGCAUAUGAAUUUGUUUUUAUACUGUUCUCUAAAUAUAUGGCUUCAGGCACAUCGGCACAUUUAGUUACUAGUUUUAAGAUAUAUUGGAAUUGAACUGAUUGUUAAAGCAAGUGCUUCACUACAAACAUUUUUCAGGACGCAUUCCCAUCAAUCCAACAAUGCAUAUUUUGCAAUUAACAUACCCACUUCUACACAAAAAAAGGUGAUUCACACAAAAGCCUGCUUAUAUGAUGUACGAACAAUAAACAGAAAGCUAUAAUCAUGUUUUUUCAGAUGUUUCCGGUGCACAACGAUUUUGGAUCAAUACCCUGUGUAAUACAAUUAUCUGCAAUGAUCUGGUUGUAUUGAAAAAGAAUUUGCAGCAGACCUCUAGGGGGUUUUAUCCAGAAACACGUAUCUGGCAAUGUUGUGAAUAGUGGAAGAGAAAAUUAAGGGGUUGACACAGGCUGUCUAUUAUGUUCCAAAUGACUUCAUUAAUAUUUUAUUUGCUAAAAGUAGUAUAUUUCAAACUCCACUAUACUGUGAAUUCAAAAUAUUCAUAUAGCAAUUUCCUUUUGCAUUUACUUAUUUUGAAAACUAGUUGCUGUUUUACAGUAGUUGUGUGUAAAAACCAAAAUUACGAAACAAAAGUUAUUUAAAGAAAUUUUGGGAUAAAACCAAACAAUUACUUAUUUUUUCUAUCUGCUUUUGGUUUUAUAUUUAUUAUUCUUUCUUGAAAAAGAAAAUCUGUAUUCAUUAGUGCACUGCCACAAAAGCUGUUAAUUUGUCUAUACUAAGGAUUCAUCACACUAGUUUAAAAAGUCACCUAAAAUAUUAUCAAUAUUAAAUUUGUUAAGUUAAAAUCAUACUUUGCAUUGCUUGUGAAUGAGUAGUGCUCAGAAGACAGAUGACAGAAAUAGAUGUUUUACCAAAUUAAUACAAAGACCAUGUGGCAGAAAUAGUGUUUAUUUAGGUUUGAGGACAUAGUCUAUAUCAAUAAUUUACCCAAAAGCAGUGCAGGAAAGCUUUUAGAAUUCAGUUGAUUGCAUCCAUUAUAUAUAUAAGAUGGAAAAUUUUUCAAUUAGACUAUUCUAAAUUCAUAUUUCUGUAAUAUUACUAUUUUUAUACGUUAUUACCUGUCCUUCUGCACUGCUAAUGCACACCCUGCAGUUCCUGAUUUAGCUGCUGAAGCUCAGUUCUCAGUAUGGCAGUUUCUGUCUCUGUCUGAUUCCUUUCUUUCUGUGUGUCCUGGAUACUGGCUUUCAGUUUCUUGACCACACUGCCAAGGUGCUCCACCUCAGUCACUUUUGCUUUGAUUCCUUUCUUUGCCCGCAGGAAAUCAGCUUCCGACUUUCUCAGAAGGUCAUCUCUUUUGCGUAUUGCCUGUGAAGACAAAAAGCAUUCCAAUAGUGCUUUUUAUGAUGUACUUUUUAUACUGCAUCCUGCUAUUUUGAGCUAUGGGGUACAUGAGAUUAUACAGCACCUCAUUAGUAACUAGGUCAAGUAUCCACAAUCUCCUCCAGGAUCAAAAAGUUACAAGGACUUUAAUUUAGAAUAGCCUGUUGAAAAAAAAGAUUCAGUAUUACAAUAAAUGCAUCAUUAAUCAAUACUUACAAGUUCAAAGGCAAAAAUAUAUAUACAUAUUCCAUGUAAUUGUGAGAGAAAUGCAGUUUGAUCUAAAUGAAUGAUUUAAAAAAAAAAAAAGGAAGAAUGUCUGAUGAAUUAAAAAAUAAAGUAAAAUCAAAUAAGAAAGGGGGAUUGUUAACCUCUUGGUGACAACUGCCACAGAGCUCUUUCAUUGGGUACUCAGGCAAAUGCCAUAGGUUAAUAUGGCCAUAGGGGUAUCCCAAAGCAAUCAGAAAAAAAAGAUAUCAUGCUACUUUCUCUCUUCUUUUCUUUUUUUUCUCUCACAGUUUAAAGUUCUUAUCUGUGUAAAACAACGACUCAACUGUAUUUUAUUGUUGCUUGAAUUGUCAAGUAAAACUUGGAGUCUGGAUUUAGAAGAGCCCAUUCUGUUGAGACAUGGAGCAAUAGUUUUAAUUUCUACACGCACAUAUUUUAAGCAUGUGUUGCAAGUUUAUAGACAUAAGUUUAGAGAUAAAAGUAUCAAUCACUAUUGAGUAUUCAUGACUGACUGUGUGUUAUUGGCUUGAUGCCACACCUUGAUUUUCUAUCAUGCUCCAUCAUGCUUCUUUUAAUCUGAAUAUUUAGUACUCUUUCAUGUCUUAAUUACAGCAAAUUGCACACAGUUGGCACCAUUUCUUGAAAUUAAUCCCAGAGUACUUUGUUUCUGUCAAGCACAGUCAAAGCCUUAGAGAAUAAUAGUAAAUGUUAUUGCAGAUCUAAAUUUAAAUGACUGUCUAUGUAUUUAACUUAAGCCUUUAAUUAUUCGUGCAGCACUGUUUUUGGUUCAAAUGUUAAACAUUCAUUUUUGAGAAUUUAAAAUUGUUUCAGACAGCUUGAAACCUGUGAUGUUAACAUGACAACAAUUAUUUGUAUUAACACGUCUUUUCAGGUGUGUAAAACUUAAUAGACAUCAUAUAAUACCCUGCCACAGUAAUAUGUCUCCAUUUCUUUCUGUUUAUUCAGUAAAUAAUAAAAAGGUUCUAAUUACAAGAAAGAGUUUUGCUGGGGGUUAAUUCCUUCUGUUGUCCUUUUUUGGCUAUGCAAAAAAAAAAAAAAAAUCUAGAAUAUAAACAAUUUUUUUUCCUCAUUAGCUGAUUCUUAAAAUGUUUGUAAUUGUAUGUAUCUUGUAUGUCUCUUUCUAAAACUCAUUGAAAAUGAGGAGGGGUUGUAUUUUUCUACUUUCAGUAUAUCAUUAAACAAAAAGAUUUUGGAAAGUAUAAAAACAGAGUAUCUUAAAUGUUGUAAUUUCUAAUUAAAGUUAUGAAUUUGAGAAAGUUUCUAAAGAACUAUAAAUUAUUUCAGCAUAUCAUGAGGUGUAGUAAUGCGAGUAUUAUACCAUAAAUAAAACCCAAACAUUUUCGAUUUGCAAACUUUUUUGCACAGGAAGCAUUCUCUGAGCAGGGUAAAAAGAGUAAUUAAAAC